UNUGACUUGAGUGCAGAAGGGGAGAGUGGAAUNCCAUGUGUAGCGGUGAAAUGCGUAGAUAUANGGAGGAACACCAGUGGCGAAAGCGGCUCUCUGNUCUGUCACUGACGCUGAGGCUCGAAAGCGUGGGUAGCGANCAGGAUUAGAUACCCUGGUAGUCCACGCCGUAAACGAUGAGUGCUAGGUGUUAGGCCCUUUCCGGGGCUUAGUGCCGGAGCUAACGCAAUAAGCACUCCGCCUGGGGAGUACGACCGCAAGGUUGAAACUCAAAGGAAUUGACGGGGGCCCGCACAAGCGGUGGAGCAUGUGGUUUAAUUCGAAGCAACGCGAAGAACCUUACCAGGUCUUGACAUCCCGAUGCUAUUCUUAGAGAUAGGAAGUUACUUCGGUACAUCGGAGACAGGUGGUGCAUGGUUGUCGUCAGUUCGUGUCGUGAGAUGUUGGGUUAAGUCCCGCAACGAGCGCAACCCUUAUUGUUAGUUGCCAUCAUUAAGUUGGGCACUCUAGCGAGACUGCCGGUAAUAAACCGGAGGAAGGUGGGGAUGACGUCAAAUCAUCAUGCCCCUUAUGACCUGGGCUACACACGUGCUACAAUGGUCGGUACAACGAGUUGUGAGCCAGUGACGGCAAGCUAAUCUCUGAAAGCCGAUCUCAGUUCGGAUUGGAGGCUGCAACUCGCCUCCAUGAAGUCGGAAUCGCUAGUAAUCGCGGAUCAGCACGCCGCGGUGAAUACGUUCCCGGGCCUUGUACACACCGCCCGUCACACCACGAGAGUUUGUAACACCCGAAGUCGGUGAGGUAA
rnacentral:rRNA from 1 species